rnacentral:rRNA from 1 species
GACGAACGCUGGCGGCGUGCUUAACACAUGCCAGUCGAACGGAAAGGCCCUGCUUUUGUGGGGUGCUCGAGUGGCGAACGGGUGAGUAACACGUGAGUAACCUGCCCUUGACUUUGGGAUAACUUCAGGAAACUGGGGCUAAUACCGGAUAGGAUCUCCUGCUGCAUGGUGGGGGUUGGAAAGUUUCGGCGGUUGGGGAUGGACUCGCGGCUUAUCAGCUUGUUGGUGGGGUAGUGGCUUACCAAGGCUUUGACGGGUAGCCGGCCUGAGAGGGUGACCGGCCACAUGGGGACUGAGAUACGGCCCAGACUCCUACGGGAGGCAGCAGGGGGGAAUAUUGCACAAUGGGCGGAAGCCUGAUGCAGCAACGCCGCGUGCGGGAUGACGGCCUUCGGGUUGUAAACCGCUUUCGCCUGUGACGAAGCGUGAGUGACGGUAAUGGGUAAAGAAGCACCGGCUAACUACGUG